AAAAAAGUUCUUUUAAGAACCACCCGCAGUUGCCAAAGGGAGGUAU
rfam:Loxodonta africana unplaced genomic scaffold scaffold_7, whole genome shotgun sequence.